CGGACGGGUGAGUAACGCGUGAGAAUCUGCCUUCUGGUCGGGGACAACCAUUGGAAACGAUGGCUAAUACCGGAUGAGCCUACGGGUAAAAGAUUUAUUGCCAGAAGAGGAGCUCGCGUCUGAUUAGCUGGUUGGUGGGGUAAAAGCUCACCAAGGCAUCGAUCAGUAGCUGGUCUGAGAGGAUGACCAGCCACACUGGGACUGAGACACGGCCCAG
rnacentral:rRNA from 1 species